AUGAUCGGCUUCAUACAGUGGGUUUUUCUCUCUUUUUCUUUUAAAAGAAAGCCAUCCAAAUUAAUAUAUGUAUUUCAUUUUUGUUAUAGAAUUAGGUUUUAUGAAACUCUUAUGGUGAUUCCUCAGAUCCUCUGUUUGAUCUAAAAAGGAAGAAUAGUUGUGAAAUGUUUGCUGAUUUCUAAAAUAAAAAGUGUUCAUGUUGAUGGUUUGCAGCUUUAGCUCGCUGAAGAGGAAGUAACAUACAGCGAUGUGAAAUAUACAAAACCUACUGACAAGUGGUCAGAUGCUAAAAGAGAUGUGGACGUGAUGUACUCUUCUGUGGUUACUAUAGACAUCAAACUGGACAAAGGGUACAUUUUAAGGGAUUCAAACCCAGACCAUAACUUUUUCUAACAUACUUACCUAGUUGGCUGUAAGCUCCACGUAAAACUUGACAGAGCUGUUACUAGGGCAUAAGUUGAUUGUAGCUUCGAUCUUUCCUCCCUCAUGCUAUUUCUUCUUCGUUUAUGCAAUGGGUUGAGGCUGAAGAAGAUGAUGUAACAUACAGCAGAUGGGCUUAGCACCAGAAAGAACUUGUGAAUUUUACCCCUACCCUACAUCUGUACAAAACCCAUCAACUUAACCAUCUUAAGCUCACGAGGGGUUUCCCAAAUGCAUUUACAAAAGCACUCUUAGAAAUGACCAAACUUUCGAAGCUUCAGGGGGAACCAAAACCUUUUACAUAUAAAUAAAUACUUUUAUCUUGUUGUUUGUUUUGUGAUGUGUGAUUUAACAUGAGUUAUUACGUGUAAAUUACAAAAAAAGUGAUAAAUAAAUAAACGUUUGAACACAAUAAAUCACUUAUUGAUCUGCC